GGAGUCUCGUCAUCUCAGCAGUGC
rnacentral:siRNA from 1 species